rnacentral:misc_RNA from 1 species
UCUCCGUAGGUGAACCUGCGGAGGGAUCAUUACAGAGUUCAUGCCCUACCGGGUCGAUCUCCCACCCUAUGUUAUUAUUACUUUGUUGCUUUGGCGGGCCGUUAGGCUCCGGCCCGACUACCGGCCCCGGCUCGUAAGCGCCCGCCAGAGGACCCAAAACCCUGAAUAUUAGUGUCGUCUGAGUAUUAUAUAAUAGUUAAAACUUUUAACAACGGAUCUCUUGGUUCUG